rnacentral:rRNA from 1 species
AUUUGGUUGAUCCUGCCAGUAGUCAUAUGCUUGUCUCAAGGAUUGAGCCAUGCAAGUCUAAGUAUAAUCAAAUUAACUGAUGACACUGCGAAAAGCUCCUAAAAUAGUUAUAAUUUAUUUGAUGGUGACGUUUACUACUCAGAUAGCCGUAGUAAUUCUAGAGCUAAUACGUGCGUAAACGGCCUACUGUGUGAACGGAAGGCCCGUGUUUAUUAGAUCGAAAACCAGCGCCUCGUGGGGGUGGGCAACCGUCCGUGCGGGGAAGCCAUGUUGAGUCAUGAUAAUCGUCGUAUCGACCGCGGUCGAUAUUUCAUUCAAAUUUCUAACCUGUCAACCUGACGUUAAGGUAGUGUCUUAAAGUAGUCGUGACGGGUGACGGGCAAUCAGGGUUCGACACCGGAGAUGGAGCCUGAGAAAUAGCCACAAUUGCUAAGGUGAGCAGCAGGCGCGCAAAUUACCCACUGGCAAUAAAUUUGCUGAGGUAGUGACAAAAAAUACCGAUAUCGGACUUCGGUUCGACAAUUGGAAUGGGGUGGGUGCGAAUAGCCCGCCGAGCAACCAUUAGAGGGCAAGUCUGGUGCCAGCAGCCGCGGUAAUUCCAGCUCUAAUAGUGUAUACUAACGUUGCUGAUGUUAAAAAGCUCGUAGUUGGAUUGUAGAUGGAGCUAUUCGUCCUUGUGAUUUUUGUCGGCUCGGGUUUGCUGGUUAGUUGCCUGCUUUUCUGCCGUGGGUUGUUUCAAGAUCCCGGUGGGGAGGGGUGCUGGUUGGCGCCGGGUUGGCCGCAGGGAUUGCUUCGUCAAUUUUAUUUUUUUCGAAUUGCCACGGUCUUCCUCACUGAGGUACGGUGACGGUCCGGAAGGUUUACUUUGAAGAGAAUGGAGUGUUCAAAGCAGGCGUUUCGCAGCUGAACACAUUAGCAUGAAAUAAUAAAAUAGGACAUCAGUGGGGUUCUCGCCGGCCUCGUUUAAUUUAUCUUCCUCUGCUUUUCUUUUUCCCAUCUGUAGGACAUUUUGUCGUCUCUGCUUCUGGUAGGGGCAGUGGAGUGGUUCUUUCAGGUGGAGGAUGUUGAAGGGCGGGGAUGUCGGGGGACCUCUGCUUUUUUUAUAUUCAUCCGUUUUGUUGGUUUUCUGGAGCUGGUGUAAUGAUUAAUAGGGACUGCUGGGGGCAUUACCAUUUCGAUGUCGGAGGUGAAAUUCACGGAUUUUCGAAAGAGUAACUAGUGCGAAAGCAUUUGCCAAGGAUGUUUUCAUUAAUCAAGAACGAAAGUGAGGGGAUCGAAGACGAUCAGAAACCGUCGUAGUCCUCGCCAUAAACUAUACCGUCUCGGGAUUGGGGGUUGACUCUUUUACAUAGUCUCCUUUAGCACCGCAGGGAAACCAAAGUUUUCGGGUUCAUGGGGGAGUAUGGCCGCAAGACUGAAACUUAAAGAAAUUGACGGAAGGGCACCACCAGAUGUGGAGCAUGCGGCUCAAUUCGACUCAACACGGGGAAACUUAUCACGUUCGGACAUGGUGAGGAUUGACAGAUUGACAGCUCCUUCUUGAUUCCGUGGGUGGUGGUGCAUGGUCGUUCUUAGUUGGUGGGGUGGCUUGUCUGCUUAAUUGCGAUAACGAACGAGACCUCUCUCUGCUAAAUAAUGGGGUGCCACGGCUCGCAAGUGUCGUGGUGUUGUUUACCGUUCCUUAGAGAAACUACCGUUGAGAAACGGGGGAAGUGAGGCAAUAACAGGUCCGUUACGCCCUUAGAUAAUCUGAACCGCACGCGUACUACUAUAGCCGCCUCAACGAGUUUGCCCUGGCCUGGAAGGGUUGGGUAAUCUUUGGAGUAGCGGCUGUGCUGGGGAUCGGUUUUUGUAAUUCUGGACCGUGAAAGCGGAAUAUCUCGUAAGUGCAGUUCAUCAGACUGCGCUGAUUACGUCCCUGCCCUUUGUACACACCGCCCGCCGCUCCUACCGAUGAAUGAUCAGGUGAAAUGCUCGGAUGGCGCAGUUGUGGCGGGUCUCUCGGGGCCCGCUGCGACCGCUCCAGAAGAGCAGUAAAUCUUAUUAUUUAGAGGAAGGAGAAGUCGUAACAAGGUUUUCGUAGGUGAACC